CUCAGCCGAGAAGUCAGAUUUUACAAGUGGUACGGAAUCUAUUACAAUGACGUGUAGAAAAUUUUGAUUAUUAGAUAAUAUUCAGGUAAAAAUUACAUGAUCGCUCAGUGUUGAAUUGAAACGAAGUCAGAAUGCCGCUUUCUGGUAAUUUUAGACGGGAAAUGUUGCAAGCAUUGAAAAAUGCGAAAAAGGAUAAACAGGGACAGAACACGGCUGAAGAGACAACAUUACAAGAGGCCAAUGAUAGCGCUGUGAACCCUACGAGCCCUGCGACGACGGUUAAUGCCAAUGAUCCUUUUAAUAAGAACAAAGAAAUCGGCAAAAGAAGGAAUUCAUCACCGUGAAAAACUACAAAUGUACAAGUUCACGAAUCUUAAAAUAUAUUUAUUACUGUAUGCUUUCAAACGUACACUCAUGUAACGUUUGAUGGCUGAUAAAAAAUGGUUUGAGAUUUCAUGAACGGUGACUAUAUCGUAUUUAUUAUAAUCGAUAACAAAUUUAAA